AUAUAUUUUCUCCACUGCCAUCAUUAGAAGUCAUUACGGUGGUCAUUCAGUUUACUUGUUCUUAGGUUUUACUUACCAUGGUAAACAACACUGCAGCAGUGUUUUAAAAUCUAAGACACUCUUAGGAUAAUUCUCUACAAGUUACUUAAAGUCACAAUCUUUUAUAUGAGAAAUUCCUUAUUCUGCAAAGCAAGAUAAACAAGAAGUUACAACUUAAACAAGAAAAUUUUGGAUUUCAUAGUUAAUAGAUACCAUUUAAUGAUAAUAGGAAAACUGAUUACCUGGCUCCAUGUUCCAUGCGCAGUUUCAUGUCACCAAACUGAUCAGAAAAGAAUUGGGCCAACCCUGGGGAAACAGAAAGAACAUCUCACAACCCACCCAUACCCAAGAGGGGCCAGAUGACACAUGGUGCAGAGUAUUGACAGAUGUGGGAUAUGUCUAGAUAUGUCUAACGGCACAGAAAAAAUUCCAUAUGGGAGAGAUUUAAAAGAUUUGCACUAUGUAGUUUAAAGAGAAGAUGAGUAAUAGGACACGAUACACAUUUAUAAAAUAAUGUAUGAUAUAGAGAAUAUAUAUAUGGAAGUCCUAUUUACCCUUUCUCGUGACAUUAGAACAAAGAGACCCCAAUGAAAUUAACAAGCAAGACAUUUGAAAAUAAUAAAAAGAAAUACUUAUUUUUCAUAGCCUGCACUUAACCUGUGGAACUCAUUGCCGCGAGAUAUUAUUGUAGCUUAACAGGAUUCAAAACAGAAGUAAACAUUUAUAAUACCAACUCCCAUAGUUACAUUAGACAGGACAAAACAUUUUAUGGAAUAUAAAACUUCAUGCAUUAAGACAUAAAGCAGCCAACUGCCUGGGUUUAGGAAGAAACUUCUCCAUUAGGAAAGUUGCAUAUAAUUGCUUAUUAAGUGGUUUCUUGCACCUUUCUCCACAAAAGCAUGUAGUAUGGGCCAAUCUUGGAAAUAGGAUAGUGGACUAGCUGGACUGUGAGAAUUCUAUAUUCCUUUGAUAUUAAUAGUUUGCUUUGAUUUUCCACAGACACAAACCAAGAUGAACUAAUUUGACUUCAUCCUCUAACAACCAGGUUCUUCUUUUAAUUGUUAUUAGUAUUUUAUCCACUUAAUUGCUCAUCUUCCCUGAGUAAGGCAUUUGGGACUAACACCUUUGUGAUAUUUGUGUGUGCCAAAUUUGUGGGAUGGCUCUGAUAAUUAUUCAUUAAUCAUGACUAUAUGGAUAAUUCUACAGCCAGAGACCCUGCAAAUAGUAAGUGCCUAUAACAGGGCUGUCCUGAGUCAGACUUCUUGAAUGUUAUUUCCAUUUGAGGAAUUUUGAUAAGUUUGUUUCCCCCUAACUUGAGUUUGCAUAUCUCUAAUAUUACCAAUGUGUACCUGAAGCUGAUCCUUCUUUUCAGGUAGUGCAUUCAUUGCUGUGGAUGGGGAAGUCUAAGGAUUGGGAGCCAGUCAGACCUAAAAAGGAAAAGAGCUAAUGAAUUGCUUUAAAAAAUUGAAAAAAUAUGUGAAUAAGUAUGUGAGAUUAUACACACUGUAAAUGGGGCAUGCAAUCUUAAAAGAAUAAAGCCGUAAAAUUCUGCUGUUUAGCCUAUUGUUAAUUAGAUCAUUUAAAUAUAUUAAAAAAUAACUACUGAAUUUAAACUGUUCCCUUUUCUAUACUUUAGUUCUCUUGAUGAUUUCUUGAAAAAGUAAAAUGAUCUCACUGUUAUUUGAUCGCUCUACACUUUAGUCGAGAUGCAUUGUAUAAAAUAUAAUGCAGUACAGAUGUCAAACCAAGAACUAAAUAGCUUAUAUUUCUAAAGAACCAUGAAAAAAUAUUAACACUAUAGAAACAAUGGUUCGGUAAUUACUUUUUGCUGUGGAAUCAGGUUAGGCAUUUAUCCGUAUAGAUCCCUAAUACACUUAAAGUCAGCUCUGCCCCUGUGGUCCUUUUACCUUUGUUGAUAAAUGUAUUGCACAGGAUAGCUUGUAUGACCACUACAGUAUUUGAGGUCAUGCUAGGCUGUUAGCACAAAUGGUGUGAACAAUAGUUUAUAUGCCACUUAACUCCUUGGGAGAAACAGUUAACCUUGCCAGAGAGGACAGAUCAGUCAUGUAUAGUUAUUAAAGUCUAAAAGGUUUUGUUAUACUCUGAAAUACUUUUAUAAAAGUACAGUACUCUUCUGGUAUUAGCUUUCCCAAGCAGGAAAGCAACAAAGCAAACAAUCAUCUUUAGUAUCUUUAUGAAAGGGGUAUUCAAAGUUAAAAAAAAAAGUUUUCACAGAUGUGUCUCACUCAACACACCUGCAUUGCCGAAGCUUCAAAUACAUUUUAUGUUACUUCAUCAUUAGACUUCCUGGUGCCUAAAUUCCACCAAAUUAACAAUAUAGAAACCUAUAGGUCUGAGAGAUACAGUUUAUGAAAGAUUUUUUUUGGUGGCCAUAGCACUAAAGUCCAAACACAAAUGAAAGUGGAUCAUUUUGAUUAUAAAUUUCAAAAAGCAUCUUAAUAUCCUCUAAUUGACUGAGCUGUCUGUAACACUGAUGGCCCUUAUCGUUCCUAGACAUCAUUUACAAUUAACUAAAGAAAGUACCUUGAAACCAAUUUUAAUCCCCAUAGUCACUCAUGGAUGGGGAGGGCACAGUGAGCAAGGAAAAAUGGAAUAGAGUAGGAAUUUUGGACCUAUUUCCAUCUGAAGAACAGAAUUUGGCAAUGAGACUGACAUUAAAAUCAUCAACUACAUUUUAAUGAUGUAAUAACAUAGCCACACUACUAUGUAUUGUGAGCCAGUGACUCUAUUAAGUUAAACAAUCUAAGCAGGGCUGGCUAUGAGACCUCCAAGGAACACCAACGUACCACAGGAAAUGGUGCUGGUGAUUCAGUCGGUGGCACUUUUCAUUCUAAGACAGUAUUGAAGAAAGGGGCCUCAGGUGAAAUAUAAACAUAAAAGUCCCCACCACUUGGUAUCAUUCAAGAUUCCAUGGCACUUUUGGCCCAUAGGAAUGCUGGGGCCAUAGGGAACCUCUGGAUGACACAAAGGGAGGUUGUAGCAGCUACUCAGCGUCUGUAUGCCUAGCAGAAAGUGCAUCGUCUAGGCAGUUUGUCUUCUUGUUGCCCCUAAUGAGGGCUGUGCCUAACUGGUACAAUUGAACCCUGUAUGACGACCACUUUACCACAACUGAAAUGUAGCCACCUAUGGGAUGACUCACAGCAGCUGUGCAGUUAUGUACAGCAAUGGUACACAGUAGUUUUAGGAGAAGAAGUAAUAAAGAAUACCAUUUCCCACAUGCAUGUGGGAAAAUAUAUCUUAAGGGGUAAGCUGUAGCAAAAAUCUGUUUCUAGAUGGUUAGUAAACUACAUAAAUUCAUGUACACAUUUACUUAUAUGUUAGCAUUUUGUUAUUAAGAACUGAUACACCAGGAAGGAAGUGAAGUAUAUUUUCCAUUUAUUUAAGAGUAGGGAAGGGAAAAAAAGAAAAAAGAAAGAGAGACUUUUACCACCACUGCCUAUUUAAAUCUUCUAACUGGCAAAAUUAAACCAUGUCUCUUUAUUUAUUUAUUGUACUUGUAAAAAGAUUAAUGGGGAUGUGAUUCCUUCAGGCUUUUACAUAUAACCCCGUCACACAAAGAACAAAAUUAUACAGUGCGGCAAACGAACUAAAUUAGCUACAUUUAUUUAAAUAACCGCUAUGGAGGAAACAAUAAAUCAACAAAAAUCCUCACAAAAAUGUGUUUACAAAGUGUCUUGUAAUUUGUUUUAGCAAGGACACAGAUUUUUAGCUCUUAGCUAAGCUUCCUUCUAACAGUCUAUUAUCAUAUCAACUGUUAAUGAGUGUUUGCUAUAGAAAGCAUCAGAUUUCUUGCAACCAAAAGUAUUUGUAACUUCCACCGUAUUGUCCUCUAAGACAUGGCUGCCCUCCCAACGUGAAAUAGAUUUUCCUAAUAAACAUUUUUUCAAAGGUUUCUAAAAACUUGGGAGACAAUCAAAAUUAAAUGACAGAGCUUUGUUAAAUCAGAAAAAGAGGUUAUUUGAAUGGUCAUAAUCAUGCAAUUAUCUCAUCUUCACUGAAUUUCAAAGGGCUCUAUCUAUAUCUAGUCCUAUAUCAGGAGUAAGUGAGUAGGGGGAGCUCUAAUGCUGAACCCGUGAUGUAUUCAUAAAUCAGUACUUUCAGAGCCUGUCAUGGGCUCCAUAAUGAGGGUCAUUAUUCAGGCAGAGUGUCAAAACUACUAUCAAAGGACCUUCUCAGAAUCACAAUCAUUCUGUUUCUUGUUAAAUAAGCAAUGUAGUACACAAAAAUGGCAAACAAGAAGCAGGUCAAUUUGAUACAGUAUGAGGGCACAGAGACCUCUAGAGUAAUUUACCCUCUGGGAAUUCUGAUGGCUUGUGAGAUAAAUUAUAUACACCCUCAGAAAAGAUUAAUGGUAAUAAAAUCCCUGGAAUAUUUUCAGAAAAAAAUGUCCAUAUGUAUGUACGGUAACUUCAGUAACAAAGAAGACAUUUUCUAAAGACAUUUUAACAACUGUGAGUAGCUCUACGGAAAGCUCCUAAAUCUUAUUAGCAAAUUGGCAGCACUCAGUGGCAGUGCCAUAUUUCGAUUUUCUGAGAGAGUUUAUUUCAAAAACCUGACAGCUUUCCUAUGUCAAACAGAAGGGGGUUAAAAAAAAAAGGAAGAAACACUCAUUCAUUGCCAAAAAUAGAUUCCAUGAGAUGUACAUUUAUUGAUCUCAUUUUAUUACAGGCAAUAACAGG